rnacentral:tRNA from 1 species
AAAAAUAUAAUUUUAUAUGAAAUAAUUAAUUUGCAAUUAAUAAAAAUUAAUAAACUCAAUUAUUCUUA